AUGACAGUCUCUUGCUUGGUGCCGUUGACAAAGGAACACUCGGCCUCACCAUUCAUCACACACUGCUCCACCGUCCUGCACCACAACACCACAGUCACCACAUCAUCACCACACCACCACCACAAUGUCAUAAGAUAAUGCUGGCGUUCGUCAUACACUUCUGAGGACACGUGUUCAAAGCCAAGCCACCGCGCACACCUGCAGGACAGAGAGUUCGACGGACGGGUGGACGGCGACUUCACUUACCCUGAGAUGAUCCGUCGUGAUUCUGUAAGAGCACCACAUCUCUCGGCGCUGACUGCUUCCAACUCUUUCACAGGUGCUGCCACUACUAAAGGGACAAUCAAACCAGUGUGUCCUGCCAACACAACCACAUCUUGCUGUAGGAAACUGGCUCAUCUUGCACUGGGAGAUCAGAUGCCAUGCUCUGCCUCCUACCUCCACACUGCUAUCCACCCAGGGACAGGGAGGGGUAGGAGAGACUUCUUCACACCUCCACCAGGAGUUACAUCCUGCCAUCCGAACAGAGAGGGAGGGAGGAGAUUUGUGCCUUGUCCUAUCAAUCUGUUGUCACAUUAUCCCUUCCUUGUCCUGUGAAUGUACCUGCAUACCUGUGCUGCUGUGCUACUAAAUAAUAAAUUAUAAUCAUGAAAUCAA